rnacentral:rRNA from 1 species
AGGGGUAUAGUUCUUCGGAACUAGAGACCGGCGCACGGGUGCGUAACGCGUAUGCAAUCUACCUUUUACAGAGGGAUAGCCCAGAGAAAUUUGGAUUAAUACCUCAUAGUAUGUGAGAAUCGCAUGGUUUUCACAUUAAAGUUCCAACGGUAAAAGAUGAGCAUGCGUCCCAUUAGCUAGAUGGUAAGGUAACGGCUUACCAUGGCGACGAUGGGUAGGGGUCCUGAGAGGGAGAUCCCCCACACUGGUACUGAGACACGGACCAGACUCCUACGGGAGGCAGCAGUGAGGAAUAUUGGACAAUGGGCGCAAGCCUGAUCCAGCCAUGCCGCGUGCAGGAUGACGGUCCUAUGGAUUGUAAACUGCUUUUGUACAGGAAGAAACACUCCCUCGUGAGGGAGCUUGACGGUACUGUAAGAAUAAGGAUCGGCUAACUCCGUGCCAGCAGCCGCGGUAAUACGGAGGAUCCAAGCGUUAUCCGGAAUCAUUGGGUUUAAAGGGUCCGUAGGCGGUUUAAUAAGUCAGUGGUGAAAGCCCAUCGCUCAACGGUGGAACGGCCAUUGAUACUGUUAAACUUGAAUUAUUAGGAAGUAACUAGAAUAUGUAGUGUAGCGGUGAAAUGCUUAGAGAUUACAUGGAAUACCAAUUGCGAAGGCAGGUUACUACUAAUGGAUUGACGCUGAUGGACGAAAGCGUGGGUAGCGAACAGGAUUAGAUACCCUGGUAGUCCACGCCGUAAACGAUGGAUACUAGCUGUUGGGAGCAAUCUCAGUGGCUAAGCGAAAGUGAUAAGUAUCCCACCUG